GGUCGUGUGGCGCAAUCGGUAGCGCGUUCGGCUCACACCCCAGAGGUCGUGGGUUCGAACCCCACCUUGUCACCG